ACGCUGGCGGCAGGCCUAACACAUGCAAGUCGAGCGGUAGAGAGAAGCUUGCUUCUCUUGAGAGCGGCGGACGGGUGAGUAAUGCCUAGGAAUCUGCCUGGUAGUGGGGGAUAACGUUCGGAAACGGACGCUAAUACCGCAUACGUCCUACGGGAGAAAGCAGGGGACCUUCGGGCCUUGCGCUAUCAGAUGAGCCUAGGUCGGAUUAGCUAGUUGGUGAGGUAAUGGCUCACCAAGGCGACGAUCCGUAACUGGUCUGAGAGGAUGAUCAGUCACACUGGAACUGAGACACGGUCCAGACUCCUACGGGAGGCAGCAGUGGGGAAUAUUGGACAAUGGGCGAAAGCCUGAUCCAGCCAUGCCGCGUGUGUGAAGAAGGUCUUCGGAUUGUAAAGCACUUUAAAUUGGGAGGAAGGGUUGUAGAUUAAUACUCUGCAAUUUUGACGUUACCGACAGAAUAAGCACCGGCUAACUCUGUGCCAGCAGCCGCGGUAAUACAGAGGGUGCAAGCGUUAAUCGGAAUUACUGGGCGUAAAGCGCGCGUAGGUGGUUUGUUAAGUUGGAUGUGAAAUCCCCGGGCUCAACCUGGGAACUGCAUUCAAAACUGACUGACUAGAGUAUGGUAGAGGGUGGUGGAAUUUCCUGUGUAGCGGUGAAAUGCGUAGAUAUAGGAAGGAACACCAGUGGCGAAGGCGACCACCUGGACUAAUACUGACACUGAGGUGCGAAAGCGUGGGGAGCAAAC
rnacentral:rRNA from 1 species